CCCCCGGGCGGGCCGGCGCCGAGGGAACGCGUGGGGUCUCCGGGGCCGCGCGGGGCCCGCUGAGCCGCUUGGCAGGGACGCGCGCCCCCCCGCCCGUGGGUGCGAUGGAAGCGCCCAGAGCCUGGGAGUCUGGAGACGGUUGCGGGGCCGGGGCCCCCGGGACACGUGUGCGCCGCGCCGGGGCGCCCACCCUGCGCCCUGGAGCCCGGGGCGGCCGCGGCGAAGCGCGGGGGGCGUCCCGGAGAGCCGAGGGCGGCCCGACGGCGUCCCGGGGCGGCGCGGGGGUGGGGGCCCGGGCGCGCCGACCUUGCAUCUGUCUCCAGCAGCUCGCGUUUUGCUGACAGUGGGAGCUUCUCAUGGAUCCGGCAUCCCAGGAUUCUAGGCUCGUGCCCGCUCCUUUCCCGACCUCCACUCCCACCCCCCAGCGUGGGGCCACACCAGGAGAUGCUCAGUGAUUCCUAGCUCCGCACUCAGGAAUCACUCCUGGCGGUGCUGGGGCACCAUAUGAGAUGCUGAGGACUGAACCUGGGUCGGCCGCGUGCAAGGCAAACGCCCUGCCUGCUGUACUAUUGCUCUGGCCCCUGGCGGUGGUAGGGGGGGAGGGAGCUAUUUUCAGAUCAUAACAUCAUAACUUUCUACCCACAAAGAACCAUGAGCCCAAAAUGGAGUCAGUCUUCCUAAAUCCAGGGCGCCAAACAAGAUUUACUCUUUCGUUUUGUUGUAUUUUCGACUCCUCCCUGUAAUGUAAUCCUGCCCUGCCCUGUUGGUAAUAGCAGGUAAUCUGCACGGUAAUACCCUCCGCCCACCCUCUUCCUGCACAGCCUCCUGUAAGAAUUUUUCCCAGUCUCUCGCUGUAAAGCCUUUCAUUUUGUAGGACCCCUCCCAGCCCUUUCACCUUGCCAGGUGGGGGGCGGGAUACUGCCCCAAUUCACGAAUCACUGAAUAAA